CGCCUUGCCAGCCCGCUCAGAAACUCAAAGGAAUUGACGGGGGCCCGCACAAGCGGAGGAGCAUGUGGUUUUAAUUCGAUGAUACGCGAGGAACCUUACCUGGGCUCGAACGUAAGAUGACUGUAGGUGAAAGCUUACAUCUCUUCGGAGCAUUUUACGAGGUGCUGCAUGGUUGUCGUCAGCUCGUGCCGUGAGGUGUCGGGUUAAGUCCCAUAACGAGCGCAACCCCUACCUUUAGUUGCCAUCAGGUUAAGCUGGGGACUCUAAAGGAACUGCCUACGCAAGUAGUGAGGAAGGCGGGGAUGACGUCAAAUCAGCACGGCCCUUACGUCCAGGGCUACACACGUGCUACAAUGGUCGGUACAAAGGGUUGCCAAGCCGCGAGGUGGAGCUAAUCCCAUAAAACCGAUCGUAGUCCGGAUCGCAGUCUGCAACUCGACUGCGUGAAGUCGGAAUCGCUAGUAAUCGUGAAUCAGAAUGUCACGGUGAAUACGUUCCCGGGCCUU
rnacentral:rRNA from 1 species